rnacentral:rRNA from 1 species
UACGUAGGGUGCAAGCGUUGUCCGGAAUUAUUGGGCGUAAAGAGCUCGUAGGCGGUUUGUCGCGUCGAAUGUGAAAACCCGGGGCUCAACCCCGGGCCUGCAUUCGAUACGGGCAGACUAGAGUUCGGUAGGGGAGUCUGGAAUUCCUGGUGUAGCGGUGAAAUGCGCAGAUAUCAAGUGGAACACCGUGGCGAAGGCGGAGUCCUGG